UCCGUAGGCGGGCAAUUAAGUCAGAGGUGAAAUCCCACAGCUCAACUGUGGAACUGCCUUUGAUACUGGUUGUCUUGAGUUAUAGCGAAGUAGAUAGAAUAUGUAGUGUAGCGGUGAAAUGCAUAGAUAUUACAUAGAAUACCGAUUGCGAAGGCAGUCUACUAACUGUAUACUGACGCUAAUGGACGAAAGCGUGGGGAGCGAACAGGAUUAGAUACCCUGGUAGUCC
rnacentral:rRNA from 1 species